GGCUACUGAGAAUGUGACCUGUGGGCUUCCCUUUGUCAUCCUAUGCCUGGAGAUCACAGUGAGGCAGGGACAGCAAAGGGAUGCUCAGCUGUCGUCUCUUCC
rnacentral:pre_miRNA from 12 species